rnacentral:rRNA from 1 species
CAGUAGCCGCGGGAAAACGAAGGGUGCAAGCGUUACUCGGAAUUACUGGGCGUAAAGCGUGCGUAGGUGGUGGUUUAAGUCCGUUGUGAAAGCCCUGGGCUCAACCUGGGAAUUGCAGUGGAUACUGGGUCACUAGAGUGUGGUAGAGGAUAGUGGAAUUUCCGGUGUAGCAGUGAAAUGCGUAGAGAUCGGAAGGAACAUCUGUGGCGAAGGCGACUAUCUGGGCCAACACUGACACUGAGGCACGAAAGCGUGGGGAGCAAACAGGAUUAGAUACCCGUGUAGUCCCUGUCUCUUAUAA